GACGAACGCUGGCGGCGUGCUUAACACAUGCAAGUCGAACGAUGAACCGGGUGCUUGCACCUGGGGAUUAGUGGCGAACGGGUGAGUAACACGUGAGUAACCUGCCCUGGACUCUGGGAUAACCCCGAGAAAUCGGAGCUAAUACCGGAUAGGACCUGGAACCGCAUGGUUUGGGUGGAAAGUUUUUCGGUCUGGGAUGG
rnacentral:rRNA from 1 species